GUUCACUAUAGGAGCUGCUUUUCAUGCUGAGCAAAAGCUCAGUAUUAUAAUUCGUUCUCCUGUAGGAUUUGCCGUCUUUCCACCCUUCUCUUAAGACUGCAAUUCCCGCCUCAUAUUUUCUUUUUAAACUCUCUCUCAUUUUAAUACACAUUUUGUAUUUUCUUUCAAUAAAUGCUGUCAUGCAGCUCUUCUACUUCCUUUAUUGAGAAAACACUCAUAUGAUGGUGGAAAAAAAUUGAGAGGGAGGGAGAAACAGCGAAAGGAAACAGAAAUCAUAACCAAAGAGCUCGCACCGAUUAUUGAAAUAGUCAGUGUUCCCUUGGGCUGAGAGAAAGGGAAAGGCACUUUUACAGUGUCUUGGAAUAUUUUUCUUCUUCACCAUUCUGACUUUUCAGCACAUAUUCAUGCUACAGGAAGAGAGAAGGAAAGAAAACAAAAAGGAUUCAGAGGUUUUACAGUAAGUUUUUUUCAUUAUCUUUCGUAGUGACACUUGCUAGUAAAAAAUCCCAGGGAAUGUUAAUGUUGAGUUUUUUAAGCUAUAAGUUUAAAUACUUUUUGUGUAAAAUUAUUUAGCAAGCACAUUAUUUAGUACUAAUAUAUUCUCCUCUUCUGCAAAAAUUUUGUAGCUUAAGUCACAGUGACACUUUAAAUGUAAAGUAAUUUCAAUAUUUAGUACCAUGUUAUUACUAGUGGAAAAUAUUUAUGUAUUUUAAGAAGACUUCAGUAAACCUCAGGUCUGCUCUUCAGUGAGGUAUUUAAAGACAGAAAAGAAACAAAUAAAGACAGUGAAAGAUUCCAGUCAAGAGCUUCUGUACAGUCAGGAGGGACUUCGUGCAAAUAUGGAGCGUUUCGCUGUGCUGAAACAACAAUUCUAAUCAGAGAACUGCAAUAUUUUAAGAAAUUCUGCCUAUCAGAGACUGCUUUUUAAUUUUUUUAAUUACUGAAAUUCAGAUUAAAUUGAAAUCAGUCUUAGGAUUCAUAUUUGUUUCACUAGCCUUUGAAUCUUGUCAAAACAAGUCACUAGCAAAAGCUCUUUCAGAUUUCAGAGAACACAAAGUGUUGGUGCCAUCGCAGUGGUGGCUGCAGAGGUGAUCUGUGGACAAUUGACAGGGCAGAAUCAGGUCCAAAGGUGCAGAGGGGAAGGAUGCAGCAGUUUUCUCCUCCACAACAAGGUAUUGGGUACUUCUUGAAAAAUUGAUUGUAUUACUCUAACAGACUAAAAUUAUGCCAUUAAAGAUGUUGUUCAAUACUCAGGUAUAAGUAGCAUUAAAUUCCUGAGUUCCCUUUACCAAAAAAACCUGCAAAGCUUCCCCAUAUGAUUGCCAAAUGACUGCUUGAAUUUGCAGUUGCAGCAUAUUUCUCUUCUAAAACUGCUACCAAUCUUCCAUAUACAAGCAAUACCUACAUAUGGACAUGUUUAGCAAAUCAGAAAGAGUAGACUGAUUGCUGGGAAAUGUUUUGUUUCCAAUUAUUUGCUCCGUAAAAUCUAGAAUCCCAGAUAAACAGAGUAGCAAAAUCCCAGUGGCUUAUCUGUAAGUAUACACUGACUUAGAAAUGCUAUUAAAAUUGCUUGUUUUAAAAACCCCUAGCAGAGAAAGCGAAAGCAAAAAUCUCUUCAUAUUGAUCUGCUUUAGGGAUGCAUUUAAGCAUUUCAGGGUGGAGUGCCAUGGUCAGUAAAAUAUUUAGGGCCACUUCCAUCUUUACCCUACAUUUUACCUCGGUUUCUUUUAUCCUCUUUCCCAUUAAAUGAACCUGACUUUUUGUCCUGGCUAUAUACCUUUUUCAUGUCCAAUACAUAUGGAAAUUGCUAAAUCAGCUCCUGACGCACCAGCCAAUUCUAAACGGGGGAGGCUGAGAGUACACCAUUACUUCUUAUUUCUAAUGUGUUUCUUAAUUUGAAACUUGUCAUUUUCUGUUAUGAUGCUGACUCAGCAGUAAGUUUAUUUCCAGAAUUACUAAAACAACUUUCCUCUCGGAGUAGCAAGGGACCCAUGACUCACUGGUAGAGAACAGCGAAACAGAAAGAGGUCUUUUUCCAUCUUUUAAUAUUAAAAAAUAAACUAGAAGGAGUUCAUAAAACAGUCUUAGGGAAUUUUUGCUGCAUAAAAAUAUAGCAGUAGAUCUCAUUUCACAGACAGAUUGAACACAACCAUAUUUAAUUUGGGUUGCAUUUAAAUAUAUAGCUUGCAUUAUUUUACAUAUGUUGCAAAACAAGAUUUAGAGGGAUCACUUUUGAUUUGCUGAUACCUACUUCACAUAUGUCAGAAUCAAUCACUUUUUCAGAUAGAUCGUUUUUUACUCAUAUGCUGCAGUAAAGUGGCAUUUUGUACCUGUAAAGUUUCUUUUGGUUCCCAGCAUUUAAUGACUGCUCUUUCCAAUCCCCAAGUUUUUGGGAUCAUUCAUGUGCUAUGUACAGGGUUCAGAGAUUAAAAAAUACAAGAGCAUAAUUUAACUCAAAAGGAUAUUUUUCAGGGAGUGCUUUUCCAUCUUUUGCUGAAAAUAGAUUAUCUCCCUCUCCCUCUUCCUCAUCAUCAACAACAUUUUAGUAAAGAGCAGCAGAAUGCAUGUUACUCUUCAGCUAAUAAAUCAUCACAAGAGCUUUGCUAAGACAGUGAUACCUGGAUCAGCUUUUGUACAGAUUUGAACAGGUAUAAGCACAUACACAAUUUGUAUGCAUAAAAGCAAAUUUGUAAGCUGUCUUUAAAAAAGCACUGUUUGUUUCCUACUAUCGUGGUUCUCAGCUAAGAAUUUUCUGGUCACCUCAAACCCUUUCUGAACCAAGGGGAAAGCUGGAAAGAGACCGUCUCUCUUAAUGGGAAUAAAAUUCUGUGGAACAUCAACUGCUCCAGCAAUUUUCAUAGAAAGACAGAAACUUAUUCUGAGCCAGAAGAAGAUAGACUUUGCUUUUUAGAUAUCACCAUCAUCUCUCUUAUAUGAUACCCCGACUACAAUGAUGGAUUAGCUCCUUAUUCUAUGUCCAUUUUAAAGUUCUGGAGCUCUCUAACAUCUGUGGCAUGGCACACUGAGGACACACGCUCUCCUUGAGCUCAGAUUGGGGUGAGGGAUUUGGACUUUGUGGCUUCAGCCUUUGCUCUCAAUCACACACUGUUCUUGCCUGGGAGGUCCAAGAGAAGUGGCUGCUCUCAGGACUGGCCUGUUCAGUAUACACAUGAAGCCCCUCAGCAACUUGAAACAGGAAAAAGACAUAUAUGCAUAUAUGAUUCUUGUCAUUCUCUCGUCCAAAUUAUUUUCUCCUUGCAGGAUGCAUUUGGAGACACAAGAAGCUGAAGUUAGAGGAGAGAAAACCUACUGACCAGUUCAGAGCUUCAAACACUUCCUUAUUUGACAUCCCUUCUCCCUGACUCCUUGCAGAUUGUUACUCUGCUUAUGCUCCAAGUGUGUCUGAACACCAAAACAAUGCUCCUGCACAGUAACAUUUAAAUUUUUCUCUUGGCAGAUAUGAAAAUUCUAGAUUUUUGGGAGACCAAAAAUAGCAAUUGUUCAAGCAUCCUCUUAGUUUAUGCAGUUGCUCCUCACUAGGACUGUGGUCCCUAUUCUUCAGUGACCUAAUGAAUACCAAUUGAAGGUCUGGGGUCCCACACUAAACCUGCUAAUCAAUUUUCCCACGCUACCCUCUGAUUUUGUUCAGCCUGCUUUCACAAGAGCUUUGUCAUGGUGUUCCAUAGUACCACUCAGCUGGAAUAUUUCCAAAUUUAGCAGGUAAGGCCCUCAAUCUGAAAAGACCUUUAUAUCCCUGUGGCACUCUUCACAUUCAGAAUGAAAUGUAGGCUUCAACUUUGGUUUUGCCACUAACAUGUUAUGUGAUGUAAGGCAAAAUAUUGAAUCCUGCCAUAGGAUUGUUGGCGCAUUUUUACAAAUAUGCUUUCCUACUCCAGUUUUAUGUUACUAAGCCUAUAAGAUGUCAGGAAAGAGGAGUUUUACUGGGCAUACACAUAGAAGAAAAUGUUCUGAUUUGCAGCACAUAUUAUAAUAAUGUGAAUAAAAAUACAUCACUGUGUCCAUUUUUACAUGUUUAUCAACUGCACAUUUUCCACACAGAUUUUUAUAUUAUGCAUUCACACAGUGUUCUUUGCCACCACCUUUCCAUUUUGACAGUGUUUAUACACUUAAACAAUACAUUAAAAAAAAAAGUUCAAAAAUAAAACAGUUAGACAUUCGCUGUUAUCCCAGGGUAUUGUGUUCAUUUCCUAGUAAGUGCCUCUAGUGCACUGGGGUCCCUAAUCAAUGUAAAUAUUGUUUAAGAUGAACAUUGCAGUGGGCAUACCAUGGAGCCAGACCACCAGCAGAGCAUUAAACAGGGACAGAUGUGAAUGCCAGGAUAAAAAUGAAGACAUUCCUGAAGUGUUGGUGAUAUAUCUCUGCUCAAGUGGAGGUAUCUGUUUCUGAUUUAUUAACAUUUGAUCCCCUGGUUUCCUGCCAUUGAUCAAGACUAAUACUCAGCUCAGCUGAUGAGUUUUAUAUGAAAUCUGAUAUUACAGGAAGAAAGAAAAUAAGAAAACAUUUGACUCUUGGGAAAAGCAAAAGCAGUGCCCUCUGAUGCCUUCAUGUAUUAUAAGACUUGGACCUGACUACCGAUGAUUAUACACUGAUAAAUACUUCUACCAAGGCUCCAAUUGUACUGCUGGUCUUCCCAGUCAUGUUCAACACUGAGGAAAGCCUGAACACUGAAAUACUUUCUCUCUGCUGGGUGUUGGAAAAACUAGAAUAGAGCAGCAAGAGUGCAGCAGCACCCCGCCACCAGCCACAGGGUUUUGUCUUUAAAACAGGACUGGGCUGAGCAGUACCAUGGGCAAGAGGUAACUGGUAGCUUCUUGGGACUCAUCUGAUGAGAGGAUGGCUUUUUAAAAUAUUUUUAUGAUGGAGGUAUUGUUCACAAACUAUAGUGUUGAGAAAUCAAUGGCUUUGUUUGAACUUUUAUUUCCAAAAUAAUUCCUUUUUAUUUACUUUCUGUCAUGCUGAAUUUUCAAUAGAAAAAUUUGGCGGAAAGCAUAGCAAGGAGCAUGUGAACUAAUUCUGUGUACAGAAUUAGGAUAAAAUUUGAAAACACCUUGAGACAGCGAAAUGAAUGCAUUAUGUGAAUCUAUUUUCUUUGCAAUUUUAGCUCUCAAGAGCCCUGGAAACCUCAGAGGAAACUUGCCCUAAGUACAUGUGUUUGAUCUGGAACUGAUCACAAACAGCAAAUUCAAAACCCUACUAAAUACUGGGGGUUCUAGAAUGGUUGAUUUGAGCUGUGGACACGCAGGAUAUGCAGCAGAAAACAUAGUUCAGUUCUUAUCCCUCCCUUUAGUACUACUUGUAUAACACUCACAUAAUUGUCUAGAACUUGUUGCAAUGUAUUACAUUUACUUUAGGUUUCCCCACCCUAUUGUUUUGUCCUGUAAAGCUGCCUUAAUAGUUCUGUUUUAAGAAUACAAUGUUACAUCUGUUCUGAAUUUCUUUAUUAGGAGUAACUCUACCAUGCCCAUGACUUUCAGUAGCACAGUGUUUUGAUCCUUUAGAAGACAAGGGAGAUGAAGCCUGAGAUCCUCUUCUAAUUAGUCAGAAAAAAAGCUUAAAGGCUUACAAAUAUGUCAGGAUUGUCUCUGAGAGCAAAGAAAAUACAGUUUUCUAUAUUUUCUUUCUAAAGAAAGAAAGUUUUCUUAACUUAGACUCCUACUGAAACAUAAAAUCAAAACUCUAAUGAAAACUGAGAGAAAGCCUAAUGUCAAAUAGGCUGCAGAAAAAGCAACUGCCAACUAAGCCAACAGCAAUUUAGAGUUUAACUUCACUAAAACUGGUGUCCAGUCCUGGUAAGGUUCAGCUGGUUGUUGUCUCUGCAACUGAUUGCUGCAUCAGGCUCCAUCCAGGCCUCAGAGGACAUCACCUCUGAGCUGGGAAUGUGUGGAAACCAGAUGACUCAUCACACAAGGGAUCUCCUUUGCAAAAUAUCCAAAAAUCAGUAUAGAUUCAGUCUAAGAAAAUAAGGAACUUUUCACAGUGUAAGGUUCAUUGAAGUAUUGGCAGAUGGUGUUUCUGAGGUCUCUUUCUUCACAUAUUUUUAAAUGGGCCUGAUGGAUUGGUUAAAAACUGACUAUAAAGGAAAGAGGUGCUGAAGAGGUACUAAUGGAAGCUGGGAAAGGUGCAAUCUGACAGCUUGUGUCAUACAGAGGAUAUUUCCUGGGUGUCUUCAAUGCUUUCAAUGAAGCACAGAGGGAGAGAAAAGGUGCUGGACAAUUGCAACAGCAAAGAAAGAAGUCACAGUAGUACUACAAUUCUAUUUUCACAGUUCUCACUGUCAGGAGGAGCUGAGCACAUUAAUGAAAACAGAGGUAAUAAAUGUAGUAGUGACUAAAAUGUAGUAGUGUAAUUUAAAAUAUAGAGCUGGAAAAUAACAACAGCAUUCAUGGGAAAAUGUAACACAGUACACCCAGGGAAACGUAAUUUGAAACACAGACAUCCAAAGGGAGGGAGAAUCCUAGAAAGCAGCAAUGCUGGAGGAGACCUCAGGGUCAAAUUAGACAUGAAUUUGCAAUAUGAUCUAACAGCAUGAGCAGCCAGUGCAGUUGUGCUGUACAGAGAGGGAACGUGAAGGUCGUUCUCCUUACUGCCAUGGCUCUGACCACACCAGGAGCUGGUCCCUUGUCACUGGGAAGGAAUUGAAAACAAGGGAGAGUUAAGGAAGAGGAGAAGGUGGGCUGACAUGGAGUGUCUGCAGGGAGAAAUGCAAUAAAAACACCCCCCCCGACUUUCUUAAGGCUCCAGGCACCGGGCAUGUACCUUUGCAUUGGACCUAAAUCAGCUGGGGGGAUGCAGUUUGCCUUCUCCCUGUGCUCAGGGCUGUCCUGAUGUGAGCCACAAGGUGUCUUGCUGCCAGAGCAGAGAAAGUCGUGAGCUUUGUGCCUCACUGCCCACCCUGGGAGCCUGCAGAGCCCUGCCCUGGGAGGCCUUGGCCGGGAGUGCAGGACGGGCCCCACAGGCACAGCAGUGACAGCACGAGGGAGGCGAGGACUCCUGCCACACAGGAGCAUCGGGCUCAGGCCAUGGGCAGCCCCACCACACCAAUAUAUCUGCAGUUUUUGUGUUACUGGAAGUUUUAAAAUGUAACACCUGCAUUGCCCCAGCCGGAGCUGGCAGCAGUAAGAAACUCUGGGAGCAGGGAGCCCAAGGCUGGCCCUGGACACCAGGGAGGCAUCCCACUCCCAGCCCCACGCCAUGGCUGAGAUGCAUUUCACUGACGAACACAUGUCACUCCCCACAUCAUGGUUGUGGGGAGUAGAAACCAGAAUUCAAGAUUGCUCCCUUCCACAGUCCCCCAGUAAUUGUUCUGUGAAUAAAUGGGUGACAAAAGGUUUAAAUCCUUGAGUGAGCAUGCAAACCUGUACUGCUCAGGACAUCCGUGUCUAAAAUGGUUCAUCAGUUUGCAGCUGUUGAUAAACAUUUGGAGCCAUAUUCUCUGGUGUGGUUGAAUGACUAUGGUGAAAGGCAGGUAGAGCUGGUUUUGGCUGGGAUAGAGUUAAUUUUCUUCAUAGUAGCAGGUAUGGGACCAUGUUUUGGAUUUGUGCUGGAAACAGUGUUGUUACCAACCAUCCAAGAGAGAUGUUUUGGUUACUGCUGAGCAGAGUUUACACAGAACCAAGGCUAUUGCUGCUCCUCAUAACACCCCACCAGAAAGGAGGCUGGAGUGACACGAGAAGCUGGGAGGGGACACCAGGACAGCUGACCCCAACUGAUAAAAGGGAUAUUGCAUACCAUAUAUAGCAUAUAAAGCUGGAGGAAGGAGAGGGAAGAGAGGGAACAUUCAGAGUGAUGCCACUUGUCUUUCCAAGUGGCCAUCACACAAGAUAGAGCCCUACUCUCCUCAAGAGAGCUGCACACCUCCCUGCCAGUGGGAAGUGGUGAAUGAAUUCCUUGUUUUGCUUUGCUUGCAUGCAUUUAUUUUGCUUUACCUAUUCAAGCAUCUUUCUCUCAACCCAUGAGUUUUCUCAGAUUUAGUCUUUCAGUUCUCUCCUCUCCCUUGCUAUGGGGGUGCGAGUGGCUGUGUGGGGCUUAGCUGCUCUCUGGGUUUAAACCACAACACAGGUCCCUGGGAAAGCAUGCACAGAGAACUGCCACAUCAUGCAUGGAGAGCUACACUUACACCUCCCUUACUCUGCAGUGCCUCUGGAGUGUCUCUCCAGGCACUUCUUUGGUCUCCUAGUGGAGCUCAGAGAAAUUUUCUGACUCCAGUUGGUCUUCCCAGAUAGCUGCAGCAGCAGCAGCAGCUCUGUUAUGCCCUGUCUCAUUGCCUUCCUGCAGACAGGCUGGAGAGAGGGACAGCACAUGUUCCAUGGGAGCCACAAAUAUGGCUUGGAAGCUCAGGAGGAGCAACAGGGGACUGUCACGAGGGCAGGGUCAUGGUUCUUGGCAUCCUGCAUGGGGAAAAAAAAAAGCAGUUCUCAAAUAUAUGUGGAGUUUUUGUGUUACUCGAAGUUUUAAAAUGUCUGUUUUUCAAAAUCAUUCCAUCAAGGAACUUAACUAGAAUAAAGCCAUUCAAUAUUUUUAAUCUGAUCUUACUUCUUGCUUUCUGGUAUCUCUAUCACUAGCAGACAUUUGGCUAUUAUGCAGAAAAAAAUUAAAUUCAACGGAGAAAGCUAUUUGCUAACUAAAGCUGGUGUAUGAAAUUGCAAAUGAUGGUUUAUAAAGUCAAAAAUCCUUUUCUUCAAUAUGACCACAGAGGUCUGAAAUGUAAGCUUAGACAUGUACAAUAUAAAUUCCUAAUAGUAUCUAUCAAAAACUUGAUGAGUGGCUGUUUGCAUACAUGGAGACAUAAAUAAUAUCCAUCAGAAACCACUGAGUUUGACAGAAUUCCAAAGGAGGCUACGUAUUUUAGGUCACUGGAGUCUGAUGAAGAGAAUUAAUUGUGGACUGACUUUCAUUUUAUUGCUGUUAUUAAGAAAAAAGUUAAUGGUUCAGAGCCAAGCUGCAGCAUGAAAAGAUUUUUAUGUGCAGCCAAGUUAUUAGGAUGGUGAAGUAAUAUUCUGUCCAGUAGAUGGCCAAUUAUCUGUUAACACAUACUGAAAAAAAGUUAGAAAGCUCUUUGCAUUGCCUUGCCUUGCCUUGUCUUCCCUUCCCUUUCCAAACAAUAUCUUGUGCCAGGUUCUUCAUCCAGCAAAAUGUGUUCAUGUACAACACUGGGUGUGACCAACAGCAUCAUUUGGCAAAAGCUCUGUAAAAUACACUAUUUCUCCACUUACUUCAUGUUUCUCCAAGUGCUUAAGAAAAAGUUAAUUAGGUGAUUGUGCAUCGACUUCAAUAUUUUGAAUGCUGCUUUUCCAGUUCAUCUGAUUUUUAUCUAGAGAAUAUAAUAGCUACUAGACAGGAGACGAAUGGCCAGUGAUUAUCAGUUUCUACACAAGUGGUAUAUCCUAUGAUUGUCUGACAAAUUUAAUUAGGAUAAUUCACCAGAAGAAUAAUUAAAAAACCCAAAUAGUUUGCACUCGGUCCACCAGGUUUAAUCCCUACCUUAGAGAUCAUAUUUCAUUCUGUCAAGCAACAGUAUUUAACUAAAUUAAAAGAAAUCCCACUCCAUUACUGUUGAACUGAAGAAACCUUAGCCCAGUUUAUUUUUCUGCUGUACAGGCAGUAAGUCCUAACUCAGCUGUGCAAUGGUUGUUGUGGAAAGCAAUGUCCAAAACCUCUUCAAACAACAUUUUGCACUGAAUUAGAGCAGCUGAAUGACAAUGGAGAAAAAUAAAUAAGAAUGGAGAAAAAAGAAAUAAGAGGAUUUCAGACACCAUGUCUCUCAAGGGCUGUGCAAACACAAGCUCUUUGCUCCCCAGAAAUGAUUUACAGGCAUAAAUGAACGCUGCUGCAAGAAAUGGUGUAACUGGUAGCUCUUUUUGUUUGCCUUUCCCCUAAGACCUAGACGUGGAGAGUAAAGGAUCAUUUUGGCUCAGUCCUCUGUGCAGGCAGGACCAAAUCUUGUCCCACUGUGUCAUGGGCAGUUAGAGUCAGCAAGGGGUGAGUCUUUCUUGAGGGCUCUUUUCUGAGGCUUGAGGUUUGGGCUGAAUGUAUCAUAGUGCACAAAAGAGUGUGGGAGGGAAAAGUAAUUUUUCUCUAAUGCCAAACAGAAACAACAUUGAUGAAGGACAGCCUCUUUCUAAUUUGUUUUCACCUUUCAUAUACAGGAAUAAGAUAUCCACCAUAUUGUUGGUGAUACAAAGGUUGUUUCCUUAAUAUUUGCAAAGGGUUUUUAGGCUUCAUUUAGAAAGUUUUGGAGGUGCUGAAGUUGUUUUACUUCAAGUCUAUGUUUGUAAGCUAGGGUACAUUUUCAGCUUUCUGGUAUCAUCCUAGACACUAAAAGCAUGUCAAGAAAAACAACCCUGAAAUGUUAUAACUCAAAUCUCAUUAACUGAGCUGCUGACACAACUUCCAAGGCUCAAACUACCGAAAGAGGGAUUUUAAUAUAUUCCCUUAUGAUAUAUAUUUUAAUUUUCAUCUACUGAUGAUGUUAAGUCACUGCAAUAAACACCUUGUUGUCCUUGAAGCACAACUCAAGCAGACCGCUGUGGGGUUGUGAAUGUCCCCUGCCUCCACACCCAGCUUGCUCCAACACCCUCAUUGCAAGGGAUGGGAAUGGUGCUCCCCCACUCCAGUCUUGCUUUAACUUCUGCAGAGGAGCCUGCCUUCAGGCUCCAGUUCAAUACCUUUUCUCCACCAAAGGACCAGACUUCAAUUCCAAGCCCCUUUACAAAGAGGAGCCUGUAUUAUUAUUUAGAUUAUAAUGCUGCAAAGCCAUCUCUGAAGUAAAAGACUUCGUCAGAAGCACAUGGUCAGACCAGAUCAGGAGCAGAAGCCAAAUAUGCUGUGCAGUGAGGCCAAGGGUCAGGUUUGAAGUUGGAUUGUCAUUAGCUCAUGGAGGGAUAAGUCACUUGCAUAUUUUUAAGGAUAUCUUCUCAAAUGCUUUGCUAGGACUUAUGAAUCUUUUCCACACUACAAGAUAUUUUAUAAUAAAUAGGAAUUUAUUUUUUUCCUUGCUACCAGUAACAAGCAGAGGGGAGUUUGCCACAACCUGUUAGAGCCCUGAUGGGUGACUGCUGUUUAAUGUGAAUUACAGCAUCAGACACCUGUUUGCCAGGGCAAUUGUGCAAGGAGAGAGAGCCUGUCUUUACAGCCAACAUGGAAAUGUAAGGACUUUCAAAUUUUCUGUUUCUGCUUUUAAACUUUUAUUUCUUCCUUGGUAUUUUGCAGUCAUUGUCUUAACUUCAACAGGGAACUGACCACUUUUCUAAAAUCUUGGUGUCACUAUUAGAUGGUAGGUGAUGAGACCAUUAGGUAGGUGAUGAAACCAUUGAUCUUGCAGGAUCAAGAACCAGACUUAAUCAAACAUUAGAAAAACUUUAAAUCAAGACUGAAUAGGCUGCCUCGGUUGGUUUGGUCUUCUUAGCCUGUUUUCCUUUUAUUCACUUUUCAUACUGAAGUUCUUUCCUGUGCAAAUCCUUCCCUUUAAUUGUUUAAAGCAUUUCACUUAUUUGUUUUAUUUUUUUCCCUUUACUUUAGUUCAGGAAACAUUGCAGCUCUUGAUAGAUUGGUUUUUUUUCUUUCUCCAUAGGUUUCUUUUGAAAAUCAGGAAAAAAUAAUAUCUUGCUUUCCUGGUAUAUUCUGAAAGUACUGACUUUUCAGAGAUUACUUACGAUAUAUAUUUUAAUAAUAGGAUCAGGAGAGGCUGCUGCCUAAUGAUUAGAAUUUGUGGUUUUAUCGGAAAGUAUUGUCCUCUCUAAAAUCUCUUUAAUAUCAUGUUAAAUUAUAAAAUCAUUAAUUAGAUAAAUGGACAUUAAUCCUCCAGCUAUGUGUAAUGCAUCCUUUGAUGUAGCCUGCUUAGGAGUUUUAGACCUGCCUAGCAUUUCCUUUUCCCCAAGAAUAUUAUUUUUUCACUAACUCAAGCAGGUAUUUUACUGUGUUUCUUUGGCGUUGCUGUGGAAGAAUAAGGUUCUAGUUGAGUGGAAGUUGCUAAGAGAGCCAGUUUCCAGGGCAUGAAACCCUUUCAUUUAAGGGGGCAAAGGUCAACUCAACAAAAAGUUGAGUCAUGCCAAAAGCAGGACAAGUGUGUCCCCUGGGAGAGAGCCAACAAGAGCAUCACAUAGAGGAAUUCCCUGCCUGAGGAAGGUGUUUCCAUCUGGAGAGGGUCGUGGGUAGUGUGGAUCACAGAGCCUACUGGAUUUUCUUAAUCAAUGUUAGACUUUGGCAAGUGUGGACAAUAGCUGUUAAGUCAUCUUAGAAUCCUAAAGCAGUUCAUAUGCAGCUUCUGGAUUUUCUAGUGCAUAUUCUCUAAUUUAAACCAGGGAAAUUUGUAAUGCUAAUUACAACAACAUGUCAUUACUGUAAUUUUUCAGAUGUCUCCAAUCAAUAACAGUAUUGGAUGUCACACAAAUUCCAGUGUGUGUAUUUUGCAAGCAUUCAUAUUUUUCCUUGGUUGUAGCAUUAAAGAAAGCAUGCACACAGUGCUUAGCACAGAAUUAUUAGAUAAUCUGGAGAGAAAGAGGAAGAGUGAAAUUUAUGGGAUUUGUCUUAAUAAAAAGUUUUGCCGGA